rnacentral:ncRNA from 1 species
UUGUGUCAAAGAGGUUGCAACCGAUAUGAGUCGCAUGAUGAAGUCCGCCAGGAUGUUGAAAUCAUGUAAAAGGGAAGGUUGCCGAAAGGAUUAUCUGGCAAGAUAAUUCUUGGGCUAGUGAUUAAUAGUUGCUAGACUGUCGCAAAAUUGCGGUGCGCUUUGAAAAGU